rnacentral:lncRNA from 1 species
AGCCAUCUUUAAUUAUUUCAGGACCCAAGAUCAACUUUCCCUUCCUCUUCCUCCCAUCUGAAAUGCACAGUCUGAGUUUGAUGAUGAUCACAAGUGCAGUUGGAAAACCUGGCAGCUCUGAAAAGCAAGUGCAGGACUUCAUUACACACAAGCCCCAUUGGAAGAAGCUUGUAUAACAGGAGAGAUCUUGCUGGUUAAACAGCCAUGGUGAAAGCAGAAGUGGAUUCUCACAUCUGUUUAUGGCAUCUGGAGUGAAUUGGACUCGGAGCAGGCUGAGCUGGCUUCUGAGGAAACUGGCCUCCAAGCAGAAAACCAGAAAUAGAGGUGCAGGCAUUGCAUCUAUCUCAUCAUCCCUCCAGCAUCUGUCCCUCCAGGGACAUGUAGCUCUGCAGUCCCUUGACCUCCUCCUUUUUCCCUGGAGUGGGCCCGGAUGGCAAGAAAGCUGUGUGGCACUUCCAAGCCAUUCCCCAUGGGAAUGGAAAGCUGCCAUUCAAUCACCGUCUGGAGGGACACAUCUUACCCAACCAGCUGAACGUGCACUUGGAAUAGGGUAAUGGAGAUGGGUAAUUGACUUUCUGUUGUUUUUCUAAGUGGUGCUGGUGGCAUUCAAAGUGACCCUGCAAGCAGGGUGAGGUGGGAUGAAUGGAGUGGAGAUGGACAGGAACUGGAAAUAUUUGUGGUUUAUGAGAUAAAACAAAGUG